rnacentral:rRNA from 1 species
AAAUUGAAGAGUUUGAUCAUGGCUCAGAUUGAACGCUGGCGGCAGGCCUAACACAUGCAAGUCGAACGGUAACAGGAAGCAGCUUGCUGCUUUGCUGACGAGUGGCGGACGGGUGAGUAAUGUCUGGGAAACUGCCUGAUGGAGGGGGAUAACUACUGGAAACGGUGGCUAAUACCGCAUAACGUCGCAAGACCAAAGAGGGGGACCUUCGGGCCUCUUGCCAUCAGAUGUGCCCAGAUGGGAUUAGCUUGUUGGUGAGGUAACGGCUCACCAAGGCGACGAUCCCUAGCUGGUCUGAGAGGAUGACCAGCCACACUGGAACUGAGACACGGUCCAGACUCCUACGGGAGGCAGCAGUGGGGAAUAUUGCACAAUGGGCGCAAGCCUGAUGCAGCCAUGCCGCGUGUAUGAAGAAGGCCUUCGGGUUGUAAAGUACUUUCAGCGGGGAGGAAGGUGUUGCGGUUAAUAACCGCAGCAAUUGACGUUACCCGCAGAAGAAGCACCGGCU